CGCGGGACACCUCCCCCCAACGGGAGGCGCCCAUCUGAAAGGAUGG
rnacentral:ncRNA from 1 species